CCUACGGGGGGCAGCAGUGGGGAAUAUUGCACAAUGGGGGAAACCCUGAUGCAGCGACGCCGCGUGAGUGAAGAAGUAAUUCGUUACGUAAAGCUCUAUCAGCAGGGAAGAAAUACUGACAUUACGGUCAGCAGACGGUACCUGAGUAAGAAGCCCCGGCUAACUACGUGCCAGCAGCCGCGGUAAGACGUAGGGGGCAAGCGUUAUCCGGAUUUACUGGGUGUAAAGGGAGCGUAGACGGUGCGCCAAGGCUGGAGGGAAUGGCCGCAGCUUAAGGGCGGAACUGCUUUGGAAACUGGCGAGCUGGAGUGCGGGAGGGGUGAGCGGAAUUGCUGGUGUAGCGGUGAAAUGCGUAGAUAUUAGGAGGAACACCGGUGGCGAAGGCGACUUACUGGACCGUAACUGACGUUGAGGCUCGAAAGCGUGGGGAGCAAACAGGAUUAGAUACCCGUGUAGUC
rnacentral:rRNA from 1 species